rnacentral:piRNA from 1 species
UCUUGCUGUGGUCCCAUAAGCGAGCAGA